GAUGAACGCUAGCGGCAGGCUUAACACAUGCAAGUCGAGGGGUAUAGGUUUUCGGACCUAGAGACCGGCGCACGGGUGCGUAACGCGUAUGCAAUCUACCUUUCACAGAGGGAUAGCCCAGAGAAAUUUGGAUUAAUACCUCAUAGUAUAGCAGUUUCGCAUGAAACCACUAUUAAAGUUCCAACGGUGAAAGAUGAGCAUGCGUCCCAUUAGCUAGAUGGUAAGGUAACGGCUUACCAUGGCUACGAUGGGUAGGGGUCCUGAGAGGGAGUCCCCCAACACGGAUACUGAGACACGGACCAGACUCCUACGGGAGGCAGCAGUGAGGAAUAUUGGUCAAUGGACGCAAGUCUGAACCAGCCAUGCCGCGUGCAGGAUGACGGUCCUAUGGAUUGUAAACUGCUUUUGUACGAGAAGAAACAACAUUACGCGUAAUGUCUUGACGGUAUCGUAAGAAUAAGGAUCGGCUAACUCCGUGCCAGCCGCCGCAGUAAAAC
rnacentral:rRNA from 1 species